AUUGAACGCUGGCGGCAGGCCUAACACAUGCAAGUCGAGCGAGCGGCGGACGGGUGAGUAAUGUAUGGGGACUGCCCGAUCGAGGGGGAUAACUACUGGAAACGGUGGCUAAUACCGCAUACUAUCGGAUAACCCAUAUGGGAUUAGCUAGUAGGUGGGGGAAAGGCUCACCUAGGCGACGAUCUCUAGCUGGUCUGAGAGGAUGAUCAGCAACACUGGAACUGAGACACGGCCCAGACUCCUACGGAGGCAGCAGUGGGGAAUAUUGCACAAUGGGCGAAAGCCUGAUGCAGCCAUGCCGCGUGUAUGAAGAAGGCCUUCGGGUUGUAAAGUACUUUAAGUCGGGAGGCGUUACCGACAGAAGAAGCACCGGCUAACUCCGUGCCAGCAGCCGCGGUAAUAC
rnacentral:rRNA from 1 species